GUUCUUGCUUCUUUUCUUAGCAGUCACAGAAAUAGCAGCGCACACACACACACACACACACAGAGAAAGAGAGAUGGAGGCUGAGAUAAGGAGACGCAGGGUGGGGGAAGGAGAGAGAAGAAAAAGAAAAAGCGUUCAGCUUUUUGUGUGAUGUUUUUUCACUGUGGGAUGGGGGGACACGGUGAUAUAUUCCCAUAGAGCCGCUGUACAAAAACCUGCUGCCAUUCACACACACUGUAUGCCACAUCUGCAGCCACUCCUUCUCCUUCUACGGGCAACUCAGGAAACCUAAAAGAAAAUGUCAUAUUCUAAAAGCAAAAUUAAUACUGGGAAGUUAAUUAGGAACAUUAGGAAAUUUGGCUAAAUCAAAACUUUUAAAUACAGAAGGACGCUUGUUUAUUUUGGGAUAAAGUAAAACAAAAAAAAAGAUAUUGGACAUGAUGAAGCUGAUCCUGUAGGAUUAAAUCUUCAUCCUCCUGGAUUAUUAGAAAGUGUGUUGAAAGGUUUUGUGAGUUUUUGGUAGAGGAGACAGUCAGUGUGACACUGGAUCUGAAGCUUACUUUGGAAAAGGAACUAAACUCACAGUUUUGGAGCGGAAAACACUGUGACCUACACUGAGCCUGCUUACUUUGGCCAAGGAACCAAAGUGACCGUCUUAGGUAAAUAUUUAAUUUCACACCUGUAUAUUCAUUAAUGUUAUUUUGCUUUAGAGUCCAAGUACGAACAGAAGACUUGG